UUCCAGACUCCUACGGGAGGCAGCAGUGAGGAAUAUUGGUCAAUGGGAGAGAUCCUGAACCAGCCAAGCCGCGUGAGGGAAGACGGCCCUAUGGGUUGUAAACCUCUUUUGUCGGAGAACAAAACCCGGGACGUGUCCCGGACUGCGUGUAUCCGAAGAAAAAGCAUCGGCUAACUCCGUGCCAGCAGCCGCGGUAAUACGGAGGAUGCGAGCGUUAUCCGGAUUUAUUGGGUUUAAAGGGUGCGUAGGCGGAAUGCCAAGUCAGCGGUAAAAUCGCGGGGCUCAACCUCGCUCCGCCGUUGAAACUGGCGUUCUUGAGUGGGCGAGAAGUAUGCGGAAUGCGUGGUGUAGCGGUGAAAUGCAUAGAUAUCACGCAGAACUCCGAUUGCGAAGGCAGCAUACCGGCGCCCAACUGACGCUGAAGCACGAAAGCGUGGGUAUCGAACAGGAUUAGAUACCCCAGUA
rnacentral:rRNA from 1 species